AUGCGCGUGGUGCACCGGGACGAGGAGGGCCACAAGGUGGCGGAGAAGGUGCCGGUCCCGGAGACGAGGCGCCCGGACACGGCGAGGCACGUGGAGCGCAAGCUGGAGGAGCAGGGGCUGCACCGGCUGGAGCGCCACCCGGCCAACGCGCCCCGGGGCGUCGGCAUCGGCGCGCCCCCGCCCAAGUCCGGCCGCGGCGGCAAGUACACCUGGGAGGGCCCCGAGGGGCUCGUCGACAGCGAGCUCGACCCCGCGCCCGCCGCCAUCGACCGCAACGACCCCAACUACGAGGAGGAGGGGGAGCAGGACGAGGUGGCCGAGGAGGUGGUCGUCGGGGAGGUGGAGGUCGCCAAGGUGGCCCAGGCCCGGGCCGGCGUCGCCAGGGUCGAGGUCGCGCCGCCGCUCCUCCAUGACCACCAGCAGUAG
rnacentral:rRNA from 1 species